rnacentral:rRNA from 1 species
UACGGAGGGGGCGAGCGUUAUUCGGAAUUAUUGGGCGUAAAGGGCGCGUAGGCGGCUUGACAAGUCAAAGGUGAAAUCCCUCGGCUCAACUGAGGAACUGCCUUUGAAACUGUCUGGCUUGAGGCCGGGAGGGGGUAGCGGAAUUCCCAGUGUAGCGGUGAAAUGCGUAGAUAUCUGGAGGAACACCGGUGGCGAAGGCGGCAUCCUGGACCAAUAUUGACGCUGAGGAGCGAAAGCCAGGGGAGCAAACGGG